CUCUUUUCGAUUAUUUGAAAAGUAUAACCUGCCCACUGACUUAAGUUAAAGGGCCGCGGUAAUUUGACCGUGCAAAGGUAGCAUAAUCAUUAGUCUCUUAAUUAGAGGCUGGAAUGAAUGGUUGGACGAGAUAAAUACUGUCUUAUAAUUUAAUUUAGAAUUUAAUUUUUAAGUAAGAAAGCUUAAAUUUUAUUAUGGGACGAGAAGACCCUAUAGAGUUUAAUAAUUAUAUUUGUAUUGUAUGUUUGAUUAUUAAUUUAUAAAUUUAAUUUUUUUGUUGGGGUGAUGGAAAGAUAAUAUAAACUCUUUUUUUUGUUAUAUAUUUAUUUAUAGAAUUUUGAUCCAUUAAUAAUGAUUAUAAGACUAAAUUACCUUAGGGAUAACAGCGUAAUCUUUUUUGAGAGUUCAUAUCGACAAAAGGGGUUGCGA
rnacentral:rRNA from 1 species